rnacentral:rRNA from 1 species
GGUUAAGCGACUAAGCGUACACGGUGGAUGCCCUGGCAGUCAGAGGCGAUGAAGGACGUGCUAAUCUGCGAUAAGCGUCGGUAAGGUGAUAUGAACCGUUAUAACCGGCGAUUUCCGAAUGGGGAAACCCAAGUGUGAUUCGUCACACUAUCAUUAACUGAAUCCAUAGGUUAAUGAGGCGAACCGGGGGAACUGAAACAUCUAAGUACCCCGAGGAAAAGAAAUCAACCGAGAUUCCCCCAGUAGCGGCGAGCGAACGGGGAGCAGCCCAGAGUCUGAAUCAGUGUGUGUGUUAGUGGAAGCGUCUGGAAAGGCGCGCGAUACAGGGUGACAGCCCCGUACACAAAAAUGCACAUGCUGUGAGCUCGAUGAGUAGGGCGGGACACGUGGUAUCCUGUCUGAAUAUGGGGGGACCAUCCUCCAAGGCUAAAUACUCCUGACUGACCGAUAGUGAACCAGUACCGUGAGGGAAAGGCGAAAAGAACCCCGGCGAGGGGAGUGAAAAAGAACCUGAAACCGUGUACGUACAAGCAGUGGGAGCACGCUUAGGCGUGUGACCGCGUACCUUUUGUAUAAUGGGUCAGCGACUUAUAUUCUGUAGCAAGGUUAACCGAAUAGGGGAGCCGAAGGGAAACCGAGUCUUAACUGGGCGUUAAGUUGCAGGGUAUAGACCCGAAACCCGGUGAUCUAGCCAUGGGCAGGUUGAAGGUUGGGUAACACUAACUGGAGGACCGAACCGACUAAUGUUGAAAAAUUAGCGGAUGACUUGUGGCUGGGGGUGAAAGGCCAAUCAAACCGGGAGAUAGCUGGUUCUCCCCGAAAGCUAUUUAGGUAGC